rnacentral:rRNA from 1 species
GUGGGGAAUUUUGGACAAUGGGGGAAACCCUGAUCCAGCCAUCCCGCGUGUGCGAUGAAGGCCUUCGGGUUGUAAAGCACUUUUGGCAGGAAAGAAACGUUCCGGGUUAAUACCCCGGGAAACUGACGGUACCUGCAGAAUAAGCACCGGCUAACUACGUGCCAGCAGCCGCGGUAAUACGUAGGGUGCAAGCGUUAAUCGGAAUUACUGGGCGUAAAGCGUGCGCAGGCGGUUCGGAAAGAAAGAUGUGAAAUCCCAGAGCUUAACUUUGGAACUGCAUUUUUAACUACCGAGCUAGAGUGUGUCAGAGGGAGGUGGAAUUCCGCGUGUAGCAGUGAAAUGCGUAGAUAUGCGGAGGAACACCGAUGGCGAAGGCAGCCUCCUGGGAUAACACUGACGCUCAUGCACGAAAGCGUGGGGAGCAAACAGGAUUAGAAACCCUAGUAGUCC